rnacentral:sRNA from 1 species
ACUCGGCCUUCUGGGCGCGCGCGACGUCAGUUUGAGUUCUGUGUUCUCCCUGCGCGUGUCCCGCCCGACUCGCGCCCGCGAUGCUGGCGCUGCGCUGCGGCUCCCGCUGGCUCGGCCUGCUCUCCGUCCCGCGCUCCGUGCCGCUGCGCCUCCCCGCGGCCCGCGCCUGCAGCAAGGGCGCCGGCGACCCGUCCUCUUCCUCCUCCUCCGGGAACCCGCUCGUGUACCUGGACGUGGACGCCAACGGGAAGCCGCUCGGCCGCGUGGUGCUGGAGUUGAAGGCAGAUGUCGUCCCAAAGACAGCUGAGAACUUCAGAGCCCUGUGCACUGGUGAGAAGGGCUUCGGCUACAAAGGCUCCACCUUCCACAGGGUGAUCCCUUCCUUCAUGUGCCAGGCGGGCGACUUCACCAACCACAACGGCACAGGCGGGAAGUCCAUCUACGGAAGCCGCUUUCCUGACGAGAACUUUACACUGAAGCACGUGGGGCCAGGUGAGUGGGGGCCUCCUCUAGGGUGA